UACGAAGGGGGCUAGCGUUGCUCGGAAUCACUGGGCGUAAAGGGCGCGUAGGCGGCCGAUUAAGUCGGGGGUGAAAGCCUGUGGCUCAACCACAGAAUUGCCUUCGAUACUGGUUGGCUUGAGACCGGAAGAGGACAGCGGAACUGCGAGUGUAGAGGUGAAAUUCGUAGAUAUUCGCAAGAACACCAGUGGCGAAGGCGACUGUCUAGUCCGGUUCUGACGCUGAGGCGCGAAAGCGUGGGGAGCAAACAGG
rnacentral:rRNA from 1 species